GGAUGUGAAGGUGACAUGGUGUGACAUCUGUCACCCACUGGUCAAGGUGGAUGUGGAAGAUCUGGCUGUCCAGGUGAGUGUCCUCAUCCUCCCUCCCCAGCAGAGGAGGGUCACUUCCUGGUCAGGGGCACACGAGGGGCUUCGCUCCCCUCCAGGACCUCAGAUGAGGUCUCAAAAUACACAUAUGAAAAGGGCCGGGAUGAAGCCAGGUGCACAGUAUUAAGACGAAGGACAGGCCCAAGUCCCUGAGCCACGCCGGCUUGGCUGCCUCCCCCU
rnacentral:snRNA from 1 species